rnacentral:rRNA from 1 species
AUUGAACGCUGGCGGCAUGCAUUACACAUGCAAGUCGAACGGCAGCACGGGAGCCAUCCUGGUGGCGAGUGGCGAACGGGGGAGUAAUCUAUCGGAAAGUGCUCAGUCGAGGGGGAUAACGCCGCGAAAGAUGUGCUAAUACCGCAUAUGAACAAAGGAUGAAAGCGGGGGAUGGCAAGACCUCGCGCGAUUGGAGCGGCCGAUAUCGGAUUAGCUGGUUGGUAGGGUAAAGGCUCACCAAGGGGACGCGCGGUAGCUGGUCUGAGAGGACGACCAGCCACACUGGAACUGAGACGCGGUCCAGACUCCUACGGGAGGCAGCAGUGGGGAAUUUUGGACAAUGGGCGCAAGCCUGAUCCAGCAAUGCCGCGUGCAGGAUGAAGGCCUUCGGGUUGUAAACUGCUUUUGUACGGAACGAAACGGCGAGCUCUAAUACAGUUUGCUAAUGACGGUACCGUAAGAAUAAGCACCGGCUAACUACGUGCCAGCAGCCGCAGUAACAC